rnacentral:rRNA from 1 species
AUUGAACGCUGGCGGCAUGCCUUACACAUGCAAGUCGAACGGCAGCACGGGAGCAAUCUUGGUGGCGAGUGGCGAACGGGUGAGUAAUAUAUCGGAACGUGCCCAGUAGUGGGGGAUAACUGCUCGAAAGAGCAGCUAAUACCGCAUACGACCUGAGGGUGAAAGGGGGGGAUCGCAAGACCUCUCGCUAUUGGAGCGGCCGAUAUCAGAUUAGCUAGUUGGUGGGGUAAAGGCCUACCAAGGCAACGAUCUGUAGUUGGUCUGAGAGGACGACCAGCCACACUGGGACUGGGACACGGCCCAGACUCCUACGGGGGGCAGCAGUGGGGAAUUUUGGACAAUGGGCGCAAGCCUGAUCCAGCAAUGCCGCGUGCAGGAAGAAGGCCUUCGGGUUGUAAACUGCUUUUGUCAGGGAAGAAAUCCUCUAGGUUAAUACCCUUGGGGGGAUGACGGUACCUGAAGAAUAAGCACCGGCUAACUACGUGCCAGCAGCCGCCGUAAAAC